rnacentral:lncRNA from 1 species
UGAUCUUAGGAAAUUUUUCAUCAUGCAAGGUAGCAAAUUUUUGUAAUGUUCGAGAUAGUAAGUUCUUUCUUCUCUUUUGAGAAGUGCUAUUUUCGCUUCCUUUACAAAGUGCAAGUUAGCAAAGUGUUUGAAAAAGUGAUCAAGAUUUGCAACAUACAAGCUAGCAAAAAUUUCGAAAGCAAAUACAAGAUAGCUUUCUU